AAUAUACUGAACAGAAACAACGAUGUAAAGGUUAUGUAGGCUGGUAGGCUGUACAUGUUGGAUCAGAACCCAUGCUGACUCUGGUAGGCUGUACAUGUUGGAUCAGAAGCCAUGCUGACUGGUUUCCUAGGCUGUACAUGUUGGAUCAGAAGCCAUGCUGACUCUGGUUUUCUAGGCUGUACAUGUUGGAUCAGAACCCAUGCUCACUCUGGUUUCCUAGGCUGUACAUGUUGGAUCAGAACCCAUGUUGACUCUGGUAGGCUGUACAUGUUGGAUCAGAACCCAUGCUGACUCUGGUUUCCUAGGCUGUACAUGUUGGAUCAGAACCCAUUCUGACUCUGGUUUCCUAGGCUGUACAUGUUGGAUCAGAACCCAUGCUGACUCUGGUAGGCUGUACAUGUUGGAUCAGAACCCAUGCUGACUCUGGUAGGUUGUACAUGUUGGAUCAGAACCCAUGCUGACUCUGGUAGGCUGUACAUGUUGGAUCAGAACCCAUGCUGACUCUGGUAGGCUGUAUAUGUUGGAUCAGAACCCAUGCUUACUCUGGUAGGUUGUACAUGUUGAAUCAGAACCCAUCCUGCCUCUAGCUUCCUAGGCUGUACAUGUUGGAUCAGAACCCAUGCUGACUCUGAUAGCCUAGGCUGUAUAUUUUGCAGAACCCAUUCUGACUCUGGUAACCUUGGCUGUAAAUGUUGGAUCAGAACCCACACUGACUGGUAUCCAAGGAUGUAAAUAUUGGAUCAGAACCCAUGCUGACUCUGAUAGCCUAGGCUGUAUAUUUUGCAGAACCCAUUCUGACUCUGGUAACCUUGGCUGUAAAUGUUGGAUCAGAACCCACACUGACUGGUAUCCAAGGAUGUAAAUAUUGGAUCAGAACCCAUGCUGACUCUGGUAGACAGUACAUGUUGGAUCAGAACCCAUGCUGUUGGAUCAGAACCCAUGCUGAUCAGAACCCAUGCCUGGUAGCCUAGGCUGUAUAUUUUACAAAUAAGAAUGUGCUCUUAAGUGACUUGCCU
ensembl:lncRNA